CCUACGGGUGGCAGCAGUGAGGAAUAUUAGUCAAUGGACGAGAGUCUGAACCAGCCAAGUAGCGUGAAGGAUGACUGCCCUAUGGGUUGUAAACUUCUUUUAUAUGGGAAUAAAAUGUUCCACGUGUGGGAUUUUGUAUGUACCAUAUGAAUAAGGAUCGGCUAACUCCGUGCCAGCAGCCGCGGUAAUAAGGAGGAUCCGAGCGUUAUCCGGAUUUAUUGGGUUUAAAGGGAGCGUAGGUGGAUUGUUAAGUCAGUUGUGAAAGAUUGCGGCUCAACCGUAAAAUUGCAGUUGAAACUGGCAGUCGUGAGUACAGUAGAGGUGGGCGGAAUUCGUGGUGUAGCGGUGAAAUGCUGAGAUAUCACGAAGAACUCCGAUUGCGAAGGCAGCUCACUGGACUGCAACUGACACUGAGGCUCGAAAGUGUGGGUAUCAAACAGGAUUAGAUACCCGUGUAGUC
rnacentral:rRNA from 1 species